rnacentral:rRNA from 1 species
UACGGAGGGUGCAAGCGUUAUCCGGAUUCACUGGGCUUAAAGGGUGCGUAGGCGGGCAGGUAAGUCAGUGGUGAAAUCUCCGGGCUUAACUCGGAAACUGCCAUUGAUACUAUCUUUCUUGAAUACCGUGGAGGUCAGCGGAAUAUGUCAUGUAGCGGUGAAAUGCUUAGAUAUGACAUAGAACACCAAUUGCGAAGGCAGCUGGCUACACGAAUAUUGACACUGAUGCACGAAAGCGUGGGGAUCAAACAGG